rnacentral:rRNA from 1 species
UACAGAGGUCUCAAGCGUUUGUUCGGAUUCAUUGGGCGUAAAGGGUGCGUAGGUGGCGCUGUAAGUCAGGUGUGAAAUUUCGGAGCUUAACUCCGAAACUGCAUUUGAUACUGCGGUGCUUGAGGACUGGAGAGGAGACUGGAAUUUACGGUGUAGCAGUGAAAUGCGUAGAGAUCGUAAGGAAGACCAGUGGCGAAGGCGGGUCUCUGGACAGUUCCUGACACU